rnacentral:lncRNA from 1 species
GGAGAAAAAACAAGAAUGGAUACAGGAAAACUAAGUGAGCUGGUAUCCAAAAUCACCAGAACUAAACUAAACAAAUAGGAGCAUCAAGAUGUUCUUCAUUCUAUUUCGGUCUAGAAAAUGUUUGUACAGAUGUGGCUUCCCCUCUAAGCAGUGAUCAGAGGCCUGCAGAGUUAUUCUGGACAUAUCAGUCCCAGUGCCUCGCCUGCCCAAGGUCACUUCAAUGACACCAGCUGCCUGUUCAGGGAAGCAAACCGAGAUGAUUCCUUAUUAGUGAUUAUCGUAGGAUUGAUCAGGUUAGCCACAUGAUUCAAGAGUCCUUAUAGGCUAAUUCUUGAAGUGGCCUUAUAUGGAAAGAGGACUGGAAUGUGAGUGGAGAAUUUGAGGCCUAAGAUACGAUACUCCUAGUAUAUUUUAUUCUCAAUGGUGGUUGUCAUCAGUGGCAAUUUUAUUUCUUAGGAGACACUUUUGAUUGUCAUAAUUUGGGAGAUGAGUGCUAGGGACAUCUAGUGUACAGAGGCCAGAGAUGCUACAAUGCCAGCACAGUCCCUUCUCCAACCCCAAUAAAGAAUUAUUUAGCCCCAAAUUUUAGUAACACCAAGGCUGAGAACCCCUGAGUUUCAAGAACAAAACAGAGGAAGAUUCCCAUGUACCAUGGACACGGCAGGGAAAAGACAAUUCUUAGCUAAGUCAUGGGAACUACACAAAGACCAUAAUAUUUCCUCUAAUAAUAUUAGAGGAAAGUGGCUGAUACAUGUCCUAACAGCACAGCUUAUUUGCCAUUCCUUGGGUGUGUAUUUAACCAGUAUUUACUAGGCAUCAAAUAAACUCAAAGUAUUUGUCUGAAAAGAAGACAAUACCUAAGAUGUUUUCCCAGACUUACUAAUCUUAUUAAUCUCCAACAUUUCUUUAAUGUAAAUAUUUCAUGUCAUUUUUGGGGAAAUUAUAUUUUACAUGUUAUUUGAAGACAGAGAUGUAAGGGAAUUGGAGAAAGGUAACGUUGAUUCCCACUUCAUCAUGAAAACUGCUGGUUUCUGGAGCAAUCUUAGAAAGGAUCCCAGUGGAACUGGAAAUACCAUUCCUCACCAACAUAGUAGAAUGGGGGCUGAGAUCCAGAUUAAGGUUUCUAUAAAGGAAAUGGAAAGCUAUUUUUACACAGCUGGGUACUUUGACCUGUGAGGCAUGCUUUCGCUGUCCUGUAGUUAACAGGGUGAGCCGUUUUAUGGAGCCAUUUCACAAGGUACCAGCCAUAGCCUACCAAAACACACUUUUGCAAAAACAAGUUUUAUGGAUGGGUAAAUACUUGUCAGAUCAGGGGAUCAUGCGCCCCACUGAUGUCAUGUGACCCUAUUAAUUACUGAGUCCCAAGAAAAGACCAUCAGGUAGAAGAGAACUCUGCAUGGUUAGACCACGUGAUGGCUCCACAUAAUUUCCAGACUAUCUGCAGUAGAACAAGGUUUUCCCCAUGACUCUGAAGAUCAUGGAUGUCUGGGGAAUUUCCCCCAGGUUACACGUGAGGAGACAGUUCUCUAGGAAUCAGUAAAACAUAGUCAACUAUGCCGGAGUUUCCAAAUGCGAGUUAUGACUUGGACAAGCUCCAACCUUUGUUAUGCUUUUCAAAAAUAGCAUUCACUGUGUUGCUGUUCAUUCUUUCUUUCAACAUAUGUUAACUGAGCAUUUUACUAAGAGCCAGCUACUAUUGUAGGCACUGGGACUACUGAAGGACCAUGUAGAAGUUCCUCAUCAAAAAUAGUUUUGCAACUAUAUGGGGACUUCCUUUGUUCAAAAUGCCUGGGAGUUUCUACGGACCCUGACUGCCAGGUAAAGGUGACAUAAUACAUGGGAUGUUUCUACAACAGAGAAUACCAAUAGCACUUGCCUGGGUAAGAUUUCUUUUCAUCUUUUUUUAAAGAUUUAUUUUUAUGUAUUUGAAAGGCAGAAUGAUGGACAGAGAGAUACUAAGAGUGAGAGAGGGAAGUAGAGAGAGAUCUUCCAUUCCCUUGUUUUCCCCCCAAAUUACACAAAUGGAUGGGGGCUGGACCAGGCCAAAGCCAGGAGCCUGGAACUCCAUCUGGGUGUCCCAUGUAGGGUGGCAGGGACCCAAGCACUUGAGGCAUUUUCCACUGCUUUCCCACGUGCAUUAGUAGGGAGCUGCAUUGGAAGUGGAGCAAUUGGAACU